ACAUGAAUCUUAAUUUUUUUUAAAUGGAAACAUCGCUUUUAAAUGUUGGUUAAAUGUUGGCAAUAAUAUAAAUAAAUAUUUACGAAAUGAACUUACAUGAAAAUAGUUUUAUAACCAUUAAGCUAGUGAAGUAAAGGAGAAAUACAUUUUUAUAGGUUUUUAUUAUCUGUGGAUUUUACAAUGAUUCAUAGUUUGUUUAUCAUCAACCAUUCAGGUUUAGGAACUUGUGUUUGGUUGCUGUGGAUGGCAGACGUUUGUGGCUGUUCAAAAGACAUCAGGCCAUGGAAAAAUAAUAAGUUUUAUUAACGACUGAAGAAAGUAACUGGGGACAAGCCCAUUCUCCUGAAGACAUUCCUCUGUUGUGAAAAAAUACUUUGGAAAAAUUCGCGCCCUUGCUGGUUAGAGUCGGCCAAAGAUCGUAUUUUCAUGUAAAGUUUGCACUAAUAUUGAGCUGUACAAUUUUCUGGAGAGGUCUCACUGGUCUGUUUGCAACAUUGAAGAAUGUCCGAAGUUUUUCAUGAGCAGUUGCAAAGUCAACAAAAUGGUGACAGAAACGAUGAAGUCACGAGCUGCAGAAGAAGGCAUUCGUGCUGUCAGACGGAAGCAAAAACGGUGAAGAAGUGGAGGUUGUUGAAACUUUUAAAGAAUUUCCUAAGUUCGAUGUAUUUACCUUGGAUAAUACAGAAUUUAUAGAGUUGCCUUCAACGAAUGAAAAGUUACUUCAUGGAUGACGAACGUUACGAGUCUAAAGGUGAAGGAACGGAAUAUUACCCCGACUAUGAAAUUCACAGAACCAUAAGAUUGAGUGACUGGAAGACAAGACCUGUUCUAAAGAAACAUUUUGCAAGUAAGACACAGAAGUGAGUUUUCAUUUUGAUAGCCAAGCUAUAAAUUAGGGUCCAUGACACUAUAUUUGUUAUUCUCACUCUAGUUCUCCUCUUCAUUUAUUGUACUUAAUGCAUGUAUGUUUUUAAUUCUGUAUAUUGCCGUUGCAAACAUUUUCUGGACAGUGCACAUCCUGUAAAACUUGAAGAAGGCAAGGGAAAGAAAAGCGAAGCUGUUAUUGAAUACCCUGAUCUUAACGUUCAUACAGGAAAGACUCGUCAACAUAAUUAUCUGGGUAAUUUUGUUCUUCGUACAAGAUUUUUCUCCAUGGCUUUUUCACCAUUAUAAGAAAAUGUUUCUUAAAAAAUAACAGAGCGUGACUUUGCUUGAUAGACAGUCAAGUCAUCCCACCUGUGAUAGCAAAGGUUAUAAGGGUGAAAUUAAUUACUUUGUAUGAAGCAUGUAUAUGUCAAAAUGCACAUUACCUCAACCAACAAAAACUAGGCCAUUUCGAAAACCCACCAAAGAAUGACCAGUUUAUUGUAUCCCAUCUGUCAGAAUCAUCGGUCAGAGUCGAUUGCAAAUCGGCAAUACCAGGGCAAUACCAAGCAAUACUAUCCAAUUUAACAUUAUGUACACUACUUCAGUCUUAAAAAUAUUACUGAUAAAUAGUCAUUAUGUCAUUCAUGUCAAUUUGUAUUCCUAAAGUACAAAUGUACAAGAACAAAAAAUUAUAAAAAUACAGUGUUGGCUAAGAAUUUUCUCUAUAAUUCAGCAACGCAAUAUACACAUUUUAUUUACUUCUUUACUGACCAAACUAUCAAUAGCUUGUUCAUUUUGAUGUUAAAAAGAAGACAAAUAAUGUUAUUUCUUCUUAAUCGAGCUGCUUCAGAAAGAUGAAAAUUUGCUGAAAAACAGGGGAGAGUAGGACCCUGGUUAAGACGCUGGACGAGUUUGGGGAAGCGGCCCAGCGGGGGAAAAACCUUCACACGUCAUUACCACUGUCAUUGCGAUGAAUGGGAAGUGGGAAUUGUAACUUUACCAAGGAAUGUUUACGUGUAGAAAAGCUCUAGAAUAGUUUACAACGAAAUCGAAGGGCCUGUAUUUCCGAUAUUCGGUGAUAAUGGCGAUGUCUGAAGCGCAUCGCGAAUUUUUAAGAAAAAACAGGGAAUAUAUCAAAAGAAAUCUUGAGGUUGAUGCUGUUUGGCCACAAAUGACGGACGUUCUGGAUCGUAACUGCGAAGACAAAAUUCGAGCAGAAUCCACCCCUGAAGCUCGUACUUUGGAACUUCUUAAUUUGCUGCAUCGGCGAGGAGAUGAAGCAUUUAUAUCCUUUAUUAGAGCGACACUUAAAGUUCAAAGAUGGGUUGGGGAAUACUUGGCUGACUUAGCCGGACUUAAUGUGAACCAUAUACUUCCUAGUGCUACGCAAAGAGAAACUGAAGAGCCUGGAAUGAAAGAGGUCCAUCGUCAAAUUCUUGUGAGCCAUUUGUCCACAUUUAAGCAAUCACUUAAUGUCGCUCAAAUGGUUGAAAGUUUAUCCAACAAUGUGGCGAUCACAAGCAGAAAUCCUGGUGUCAACAUCAGAGCUGUGUUGCAAGAACUAUCUUUGGACAAAAAAGUGGAAAAGCUUAUAUGUGAUGUGCUUCCGCGUUUAGGGCCUGAUGCAUUCCAAUGUUUUUUCAAAACCUUAGAUAUAAAUCAGCCGCAACUUGCCCAUGAUUUGAGGCAGUCAAUAAAAGCUACUCAUUCUGGCGAACUAAUUGAUGAGAGACAAUUCUAUCAGGAGCCAACAAAUGCUCAUCUGACUGGGCAGACCACAGCCCAGUUUAAUCUUGAAACAACCUGUUCAGAUCUACCUGACCAUGUUUAAAGAAAGUUAGAAGAACGCUUAAACAAAGGCAAUGAGUUAUUAGAGAAUGACUGGAGAAGCCUGUACAAAGCAGUGAAUUUGCCACAAGGUAAAGAAAACAUCAUUGCUGAGAAAUUCUCUGGUAACCCCACACGAUAUGUGUUGGACACUUGGUUUGAUAGAGACGGACAACAUGCCAAUGUAAGAGCACUGCUCCUAGCAUUGAAAGAGUGUAAGCAAGGAGGUUUAGCUCAUGAGAUAGAAAGGGAUUUGGAUGUUAAGCUGCCUGAUCAAGUUCCGCAAGACACCGUUGAUGGAAUCAUGCAGUUAAAUGAAAACGAGAAAAGAACUGUAGACGAUGAAAGAAGUUUGGGUGAACUUCCAAAAAUAGCUUCUGAAGAAAAGGAAUCGUUGCUAUAUCUACUAAAUGAUAAUGACAGUGAUGCUGAUAUUGGUAUAACGUCUUCUACAUCAGGACCUAAAUUGCUGUCUCAACCAUGGAAAUGUUAUGAUAAAUCAAUAAUGCACCAGCAAAAGUUCAGAAUGAUGGAA